UAUAAAUAGAUUACACUGCGACGUAUCUGCAAUCACGUGAAUCUUAUUCAAUCGACAUACCACGCAACUACACAAGACGAUUUUACCAUGCAACGGUGCUACAAACAAAUGAUACGAAUGGAUUUCGAAUCGUGUUCCAAGAUAUCUAUAUCAGAUAUACUAAUCAAAUCCAAAUAGGGAGAGGUACUGAUCCAUCUGAUCCACAGUCUGUCAUUACAAGCCUCUCUGGUACUAGCUCUUCUGAUGAUGUCUACGUGGAGACCGAUCAGAUGUGGAUUGCUCUCGUAGGAGGUCUGACUGACACCAAUCUUAAGAUUAAUGCGGACAUCAUUGCUUUCAACCUUUCAACCCUGUUUAAUUGCCCAUUGAGCAAUAUGAACGUGUCAUCAGAUGUUCUGUGUGAUGGAGUGUACCAUUGCGAUCAUUAUGAAGAUGAAUCGACAUGCAAUUACUCUACGACGUAUCUGCAGUCGGGUGAAUCAUAUUCAUUCAUCAUACCGCGCAACUAUACCAUAACGAUUUUACCACGCAUCUUUGCUUCAAACAAAUGAUACGAAUGGAUUUCGAAUCGUGUUCCAAGAUUUCUUGCUCUAUUCUAGUCAUCGAAUCCAAAUAGGGGCAGGUACCGAACCAUCUGAUCAACAAUCUGUCAUCACAACCAUCAAUGGAUACAGGAACUGCUGCCCUGUUGAUGUCUAUGUAGAGACCAAUAACAUUUGGAUUGCUGUCAUAGGCGG